UCCUGUUUUCUGCUGCAAGCAUUCAAAAGUCGUUUGGCGUCCUUCGAUAUGCAGUGGUUAUGGUAAGGCUCCAAUGCUGACAAGUCACCUGUCUCUCAUCCUAAAUAAGGUCGACUCUGAUCAUAUCAUAUUGAAUAGAAUAAAGCAGUUCACAGCCAGCAUAGUUACCAGAAAGUGGGUUGGUUGCAGGAGCAGAUUUAGCUGCAGAUGCGGGUGCGCAAAAGCAGGUCUCUCAAACAAAAAUAAGAAUUGGAAGUGCUUAGGAAGCAGGUACAGAAGCAAAUUUUCUAAGGUUCCGAAGCGGGUGCAGCACCAUGGGUAGAAGCUUCCUGCUAGUAUGGAGUAAAGAACGACCCACAAGCUUCAAACAAUUGCAACCGUAUCAUUGAAAGACAAUCCUGUCUUUCAGCAAAAAGUAAUCAAAAUGUGCAUUUUUCAUUCUCUCUAAAUUCAUCUAAAUGAGUAUCAGAGAAAGGUUGUAUUAUGGUUUAUGGAUAAAAAAAGUUUGUUGGUGUUCAGAGGUACAAACCCUG
rnacentral:lncRNA from 1 species